GACGAACCGAGCGAACGUUGUUCGGAAUCACUGGGCUUAAAGGGCGCGUAGGCGGGUUCCCAAGUCCGGGGUGAAAUCCCACAGCUCAACUGUGGAACUGCCUCGGAUACUGGGUGCCUCGAGGGUGGUAGGGGUAUGCGGAACUAUCGGUGGAGCGGUGAAAUGCGUUGAUAUCGAUAGGAACUCCGGUGGCGAAGGCGGCAUACUGGACCACAUCUGACGCUGAGGCGCGAAAGCCAGGGGAGCGAACGGG
rnacentral:rRNA from 1 species